rnacentral:rRNA from 1 species
GACGAACGCUGGCGGUGUGCUUAACACAUGCAAGUCGAACGGUAAGGCCCUUUCGGGGGUACACGAGUGGCGAACGGGUGAGUAACACGUGAGUAACCUGCCCUCAUCUCUGGGAUAACAGUCGGAAACGGUUGCUAAUACUGGAUAUGAGCUUGCAAGGCAUCUUGUGGGUUGGAAAGAUUUUUUUUGGUUGGGGAUGGACUCGCGGCCUAUCAGCUUGUUGGCGAGGUAGUGGCUCACCAAGGCUUCGACGGGUAGCCGGCCUGAGAGGGCGACCGGCCACAUUGGGACUGAGAUACGGCCCAAACUCCUACGGGAGGCAGCAGUGGGGAAUAUUGCACAAUGGACGGAAGUCUGAUGCAGCAACGCCGCGUGCGGGAUGACGGCCUUCGGGUUGUAAACCGCUUUCAAUUGUGACGAAGCUUUUUUGUGACGGUAGCAGUAGAAGAAGCACCGGCUAACUACGUG